CUUGCUGGGUGGAUUAGUGGCGAACGGGUGAGUAACACGUGAGUAACCUGCCCCUGACUCUGGGAUAAGCGUUGGAAACGACGUCUAAUACUGGAUAUGACUGCCGGCCGCAUGGUCUGGUGGUGGAAAGAUUUUUUGGUUGGGGAUGGACUCGCGGCCUAUCAGCUUGUUGGUGAGGUAAUGGCUCACCAAGGCGACGACGGGUAGCCGGCCUGAGAGGGUGACCGGCCACACUGGGACUGAGACACGGCCCACACUCCUACGGGAGGCAUCAGUGGGGAAUAUUGCACAAUGGGCGAAAGCCUGAUGCAGCAACGCCGCGUGAGGGAUGACGGCCUUCGGGUUGUAAACCUCUUUUAGUAAGGAAGAAGCGAAAGUGACGGUACCUGCAGAAAAAGCACCGGCUAACUACGUGCCAGCAGCCGCGGUAAUACGUAGGGUGCAAGCGUUGUCCGGAAUUAUUGGGCGUAAAGAGCUCGUAGGCGGUUUGUCGCGUCUGCUGUGAAAUCCCGAGGCUCAACCUCGGGCUUGCAGUGCGUACGGGCAGACUAGAGUGCGGUAGGGGAGAUUGGAAUUCCUGGUGUAGCGAUGGAAUGCUCAGAUAUCAAGAUGAACACCGAUGGCGAAGGCAGAUCUCUGGGCCGUAACUGACGCUGACGAGCGCAAACAUGGGGAGCGAACAGGAUUAGAUACCCUGAUAAUCCAUGCCGUAGACGUUGGGCGCUAGAUGUAGGGACCUUUCCACGGUUUCUGUGUCGUAGCUAACGCAUUAAGCGCCCCGCCUGGGGAGUACGGCCGCAAGGCUAAAACUCAAAGGAAUUGACGGGGGCCCGCACAAGCGGCGGAGCAUGCGGAUUAAUUCGAUGCAACGCGAAGAACCUUACCAAGGCUUGACAUACACCGGAAACGGCCAGAGAUGGUCGCCCCCUUGUGGUCGGUGUACAGGUGGUGCAUGGUUGUCGUCAGCUCGUGUCGUGAGAUGUUGGGUUAAGUCCCGCAACGAGCGCAACCCUCGUUCUAUGUUGCCAGCGGGUUAUGCCGGG
rnacentral:rRNA from 1 species